rnacentral:misc_RNA from 1 species
UUAAGUUCAGCGGGUAGUCCUACCUGAUUUGAGGUCAAGCGUCAGAAAAGUAAAAGGGUCGUCCGCCCGAAAGCAAAGUCCCCAAGUACGAUAUAUGUUUAGAAGCAAAGGUCGAUCUACGCCUCACACUCCAGCCACGACGAUCAUUAUCACGUCGAAGGCCGUGCAUGCAAGACUUGCCGCCUUUCGCUAAUGCUUUU